CCCUUAGAUGUUCUGGGCCGCACGCGCGCUACACUGAUGAAUUCAACGAGUUUUCCACCUUGACCGAGAGGUCCGGGAAAUCUUUUCAACUUUCAUCGUGCUGGGGAUAGAUUAUUGCAAUUAUUGAUCUUGAACGAGGAAUUCCUAGUAAGCGCGAGUCAUCAGCUCGCGUUGAUUACGUCCCUGCCCUUUGUACACACCGCCCGUCGCUACUACCGAUUGGAUGGCUUAAUGAGAUCUCUGGAUCUCUGCCGGCGCGGUCCUCACGGGCCGCGUUGGAUAGGGAGAAGUUGCUCAAAUUAAGUCUUCUAGAGGAAGUAAAAGUCGUAACA
rnacentral:rRNA from 1 species